rnacentral:rRNA from 1 species
UAGGGAAUCUUCCGCAAUGGACGCAAGUCUGACGGAGCAACGCCGCGUGAGUGAAGAAGGAUUUCGGUUCGUAAAACUCUGUUGUUAGAGAAGAACAGCGCAUAGAGUAACUGUUAUGCGUGUGACGGUAUCUAACCAGAAAGCCACGGCUAACUACGUGCCAGCAGCCGCGGUAAUACGUAGGUGGCAAGCGUUGUCCGGAUUUAUUGGGCGUAAAGCGAGCGCAGGCGGUCAAUUAAGUCUGAUGUGAAAGCCCCCGGCUCAACCGGGGAGGGUCAUUUGAAACUGGUUGACUUGAGUGCGGAAGGGGGUAGUGGAAUUCCAUGUGUAGCGGUGAAAUGCUUGGGUAUAUGGAGGAACACCGGUGGCGAAAGCGGCUCUCUGGUCUGUAUCUGACGCUGAGGCUCGAAAGCGUGGGGAGCGAACAGG